rnacentral:rRNA from 1 species
AUUGAACGCUGGCGGCAUGCCUUACACAUGCAAGUCGAACGGCAUCGCGGGAAAGCUUGCUUUCCUGGCGGCGAGUGGCGAACGGGUGAGUAACACAUCGGAACGUACCGGCUAGUGGGGGAUAACCCGUCGAAAGACGGGCUAAUACCGCAAACGCUCUUGGGGGGAAAGAAGGGGACCUUUGGGCCUUGCGCUAGUCGAGCGGCCGAUGUCCGAUUAGCUAGUUGGUGGGGUAAAGGCCUACCAAGGCGACGAUCGGUAGCGGGUCUGAGAGGACGAUCCGCCACACUGGGACUGAGACACGGCCCAGACUCCUACGGGAGGCAGCAGUGGGGAAUCUUGGACAAUGGGGGCAACCCUGAUCCAGCAAUGCCGCGUGGGUGAAGAAGGCCUUCGGGUUGUAAAGCCCUUUCGGCAGGGAAGAAAUCGGCGGGGCGAAUAACCCUGCUGGAUGACGGUACCUGCAGAAGAAGCACCGGCUAACUACGUG